rnacentral:lncRNA from 1 species
AUUUAAGAGUGUGUAUCUUGCCUCUUAACAAUUAAACUACCGCAUAAACGUCUAAAAGGCAGGACCCCGAUAAUUCCGUGACGGCACACCUUGACCGUGAAGAACAAGACUGAUUCUAACAGACCCGCUUGAACGUGGUGCCCGUGAUCUUAACACCUUGGGAGGCCUCUAACGUUGCCUUUGCACCAACUGCUCCAGACUGGCCUUCAGAGACUACUUAAAACCUCAGGAAACUCUGCGAUUGAGGAGGGGAGGAGAGUCAGUGACAGCCUGAGUGACAUUAGGCCAACAGGUGAGGAAACUAAAGCCCUGGGAUGUUUAGGGUUGCUGCCGAGCUGGGACGCGCACGCGGGCCUCCGGGUUCUAACACCCAUGAGCUUCACUGCCGCACCAUAGUGCCUGGAGCAGUUUCUGGAACGUGGGCAAGAGCAGGGCUUUGUCAUACAGGAAAAUGCCUCAUUAGGGAAACCCACGUGUGUGGCCUAGGAAACUACCCUGUCGCCUGGGGGACGGGGUGUGGUGGGGCGCUCAGCAGCUCGACUUCCAGGUUCACAGGUCAGUUCUCAUCCUGGGCAAGUGAGGAGAGCUCCUUUGGAGGCCCAUCGGCUUUCUGCCAGGGCAGGUGGUCCUGCCACACCUGGAUUCAGGACAUCUGCUUUUCACCCAGGGAGAAUGGCUUUGUCAGAUGCUGUCUGGUUUCAUUUUCUGUGGGAGGUUUGCUUUGGCUUCUGAAUGUUCAAGGAGUGCACG